GAUGAACGCUGGCGGCGUGCCUAAUACAUGCAAGUCGAGCGAACAGACGAGGAGCUUGCUCCUCUGACGUUAGCGGCGGACGGGUGAGUAACACGUGGAUAACCUACCUAUAAGACUGGGAUAACUUCGGGAAACCGGAGCUAAUACCGGAUAAUAUAUUGAACCGCAUGGUUCAAUAGUGAAAGACGGUUUUGCUGUCACUUAUAGAUGGAUCCGCGCCGCAUUAGCUAGUUGGUAAGGUAACGGCUUACCAAGGCGACGAUGCGUAGCCGACCUGAGAGGGUGAUCGGCCACAUUGGGACUGAGAUACGGCCCAGACUCCUACGGGAGGCAGCAGUGGGGAAUAUUGCACAAUGGGCGGAAGCCUGAUGCAGCAACGCCGCGUGCGGGAUGACGGCCUUCGGGUUGUAAACCGCUUUCGCCUGUGACGAAGCGUGAGUGACGGUAAUGGGUAAAGAAGCACCGGCUAACUACGUG
rnacentral:rRNA from 1 species